rnacentral:rRNA from 1 species
GGCAAGGUUAAGUCCGUUGACGGACGCAGCCGAAGCGAAAGCGAGUCUGAAUAGGGCGUAUAGUCAGUGGGGGCAGACGCGAAACUUUGUGAUCUACCCUUGACCAGGCUGAACGUUUGGUAACACAAACCGGAGGGCCGAACCGAUAGACGUUGAAAAGUCUCCGGAUGAGUUGAGGGUGGGGGUGAAAGGCCAAUCAAACUGAGAGAUAGCUCGUACUCCCCGAAAUGUUUUUAGGAACAGCCUAGAGGUUGAGUGUCAUAGAGGUAGAGCUACCGAUAGGGCUAGGGGGCUUCACCGCCUACCAAACCCUGACGAACUCCGAAUGCUACUGACAUAUACUCUGGAGUGAGCCCUUGGGUGCUAAGGUCCGAGGGCGAGAGGGGAACAACCCAGACCAACAGCUAAGGUCCCCAAAUCGUGAUUAAGUUGAUCUAACGAGGUCCAAUUGCAUAGACAGCUAGGAUGUUUGCUUGGAAGCAGCAAUUCAUUUAAAGAGUGCGUAACAGCUCACUAGUCGAGCGAUAGGGCAUGGAUAAUAAACGGGCAUCAAAUCACGUACCGAAGCUUUGGAUUCCGUAAGGAGUGGUAGGGGAGCAUUCUGGUCGCACCGAAGGUGUGCUGUGAGGCAUGCUGGAGCGUCCAGAAAAGAAAAUGUAGGCAUGAGUAACGAUAAUGAAUGCGAGAAACAUUCACGCCGUAAGACUAAGGUUUCCUGCGCCAUGUUAAUCAGAGCAGGGUUAGUCGGGGCCUAAGGCGAACCCGAAAGGGGUAGUCGAUGGACAACUGGUUAAUAUUCCAGUACUGGCUUGUGUUGCGAUGGAGGGACGGAGUAGUGACAGCGCCGCCUACUGACGAAAUAGUAGGUUUAAGGAUAUAGCUAUAGGCCCGGUUGGCAAAUCCGCCGGGACUGGUGAAAUCCGAUAGUACCUCAAGGCUUCGGCUGAGGGGAUAGUGCGUGUAAGCAGACUCCCAAGAAAAACUUCUAAGCUUCAGACACAAGGCACCCGUACCGUAAACCGACACAGGUGGUCGAGGAGAGAAUCCUAAGGCGCUCGAGUGAUUCACGGCUAAGGAACUAGGCAAAAUGACCCUGUAACUUCGGGAGAAGGGGUUCCCACGCAAGUGGGACGCAGUGAAAAGGCCCAGGCGACUGUUUAACAAAAACACAUGGCUAUGCAAAAUCGAAAGAUGAAGUAUAUGGCCUGACACCUGCCCGGUGCCGGAAGGUUAAGAGGGGAUGUCAUCGCAAGAGAAGCAUUGAAUCGAAGCCCCGGUAAACGGCGGCCGUAACUAUAACGGUCCUAAGGUAGCGAAAUUCCUUGUCGGGUAAGUUCCGACCUGCACGAAUGGUGUAACGAUCUGGGCACUGUCUCAGCCGUGAGCUCGGUGAAAUUGAAGUCUCGGUGAAGAUGCCGAGUACCCGCAACGGGACGGAAAGACCCCGUGAACCUUCACUACAGCUUUACAUUGACUUUGGGUAAAUGAUGUGUAGGAUAGGUGGGAGGCUGUGAACCGGCGUCGCUAGGCGUCGGGGAGCCAUUGUUGAAAUACCACCCUUUAUUUAUUUGGAGUCUAACACUGCGUAUGCAGAGGACAGUGUAUGGUGGGUAGUUUGACUGGGGUGGUCGCCUCCAAAAGAGUAACGGAGGCUUCCAAAGGUUCCCUCAGCACGAUUGGUAACCGUGCGUAGCGUGUAAUAGCAUAAGAUAUCGUGACUGGGAAAC